GAUGAACGCUAGCGACAGGCUUAACACAUGCAAGUCGAGGGGCAGCAUAGAAGUAGCAAUACUUUAGUGGCGACCGGCGCACGGGUGAGUAACGCGUAUGCAACCUACCUAUCAGAGGGGGAUAACCCGGCGAAAAUCGGACUAAUACAGCAUAAAACAGGGGCACCGCAUGGAGAUAUUUUUUAAAGAUUAAUUGCUGAUAGAUGGGCAUGCGUUCCGUUAGGUAGUUGGGGAGGUAAUGGCUCACCAAGCCGACGAUGGAGAGGGAAACUGAGAGGAUGGUCCCGCAAACAGGUACUGAGACACGGACCUUACUCCUACGGGAGACAGCAGUGAGGAAUAUUGGUCAAUGAGCUAGAGCCUGAACCAGCCAAGUCGCGUGAAGGAAGAAGGAUCUAUGGUUCGUAAACUACUUUUGCAGGGUAAUAAAGUGGAGGACGUGUCCUCUUUUGUAUUGACCCUGAGAAUAAGGAUCGGCUAUCUCCGUGCCAGCCGCCGCCGUAACAC
rnacentral:rRNA from 1 species